rnacentral:rRNA from 1 species
UACAGAGGGGGCAAGCGUUGUUCGGAAUUACUGGGCGUAAAGGGCGCGUAGGCGGCCUGUUAAGUCGAACGUGAAAUCCCCGGGGCUCAACCCCGGGAACUGCGUCCGAUACUGGCAGGCUUGAAUCCGGGAGAGGGAUGCAGAAUUCCAGGUGUAGCGGUGAAAUGCGUAGAUAUCUGGAGGAAUACCGGUGGCGAAGGCGGUCUGCUGGGCAGUUUCUGACACUGAGGCGCGGACAGCGUGGGGAGCAAACAGG